GCCAGCGUGGCAUAGUGGUUUGAGUGCUGGACUACGACUCUAGAGACCAGGGUUUGAUUCCCGCUCAGCCA